CCUACGGGAGGCAGCAGUGGGGAAUAUUGCACAAUGGGCGCAAGCCUGAUGCAGCCAUGCCGCGUGUGUGAAGAAGGCCUUCGGGUUGUAAAGCACUUUCAGCGGGGAGGAAGGCGGUGAGGUUAAUAACCUCAUCGAUUGACGUUACCCGCAGAAGAAGCACCGGCUAACUCCGUGCCAGCAGCCGCGGUAAUACGGAGGGUGCAAGCGUUAAUCGGAAUUACUGGGCGUAAAGCGCACGCAGGCGGUCUGUCAAGUCGGAUGUGAAAUCCCCGGGCUCAACCUGGGAACUGCAUUCGAAACUGGCAGGCUAGAGUCUUGUAGAGGGGGGUAGAAUUCCAGGUGUAGCGGUGAAAUGCGUAGAGAUCUGGAGGAAUACCGGUGGCGAAGGCGGCCCCCUGGACAAAGACUGACGCUCAGGUGCGAAAGCGUGGGAGCAAACAGGAUUAGAUACCCCUGUAGUC
rnacentral:rRNA from 1 species